rnacentral:rRNA from 1 species
AACGAACGCUGGCGGCGUGGAUAAGACAUGCAAGUCGAACGGGACAACAUCUGUAGCAAUACAGAUGUUGUUUAGUGGCGAACGGGUGCGUAACACGUGGGCAAUCUGCCGAAAAGUGGGGGAUAGCUCGCCGAAAGGCGAAUUAAUACCGCAUAUGGUCAGGGAAGACAUCUUCCUGAAUCCAAAGCCGGGGUAACCUGGCGCUUUUUGAGGAGCCCGCGGCCUAUCAGCUAGUUGGUGAGGUAACGGCUCACCAAGGCCAUGACGGGUAGCUGGUCUGAGAGGACGACCAGUCACACUGGAACUGAGACACGGUCCAGACACCUACGGGUGGCAGCAGUCGAGAAUUUUUCUCAAUGGGGGAAACCCUGAAGGAGCGACGCCGCGUGGAGGAUGGAAGG